rnacentral:rRNA from 1 species
AGUGAACGCUGGCGGCAGGCCUAACACAUGCAAGUCGAGCGGCAGCGCGUCCGACCACCCUCGGGUGGUCGGAUGGCGGCGAGCGGCGGACGGGUGAGGAAUGCAUCGGAAUCUGCCUCGUUGUGGGGGAUAACGUAGGGAAACUUACGCUAAUACCGCAUAAUAUCUCAGGAUGAAAGCGGGGGAUCGUAAGGCCUCGCGUUAUUAGAGCGGCCGAUAUCAGAUUAGGUAGUUGGUGGGAUAAAAGCCUACCAAGCCAACGAUCUGUAGCUGGUCUGAGAGGACGACCAGCCACACUGGGACUGAGACACGGCCCAGACUCCUACGGGAGGCAGCAGUGGGGAAUUUUGGACAAUGGGCGAAAGCCUGAUCCAGCAAUACCGCGUGCAGGACGAAGGCCUUCGGUUGUAACUAGCUUUGUACGGUAACGAAACGGUUACAGAUUAAUACUCUGUAACUAAUGACGGUACCGUAACGAAUAAGACGACCGACUAACUACGUCGUCCAGCAC